rnacentral:hammerhead_ribozyme from 1 species
AUCCGAUUGACGAGUCCCAAAUAGGACGAAACAAAUAUCAAAUUGGAU